rnacentral:rRNA from 1 species
GGGCCCGCACAAGCAGUGGAGCAUGUGGUUUAAUUCGAUGCAACGCGAAGAACCUUACCAGGCCUUGACAUCCUCGGAACUUUCUAGAGAUAGAUUGGUGCCUUCGGGAACCGAGUGACAGGUGCUGCAUGGCUGUCGUCAGCUCGUGUCGUGAGAUGUUGGGUUAAGUCCCGUAACGAGCGCAACCCUUGUCCUUAGUUGCCAGCACAUUAUGGUGGGAACUCUAACGGAACUGCCGGUGCAAACCGUGAGGAAGGUGGGGACGACGUCAAAUCAUCACGGCCCUUACGUCCUGGGCCACACACGUGCUACAAUGGUAGGUACAGAGGGAAGCCACCCCGCGAGGGGAGCGGA